GGAGGUUGUAUAUUGUAUAUAAAGAAAAAAAUAAAGCAUAAAAUAAUAUUAAAUACAAUAUUGCCAAGAUGGUACGAGUACUAAGGAGUGUAUUGCUAGUUGUUGUUAUACUGGGUUUCAUCGCGUCAAGUAAUGCUGAUGCCACUAAGCCCAGCCAGCAAAAUGAGCCCGCAGGCAAAACAGGAGAGCUGGGAAAAAAUGAAGACAUGAGCGACGGAGACGUAGGCGGAAACCUUCCACCUGAGAUCGUAAAGAUUUUGCUCGGUGGUGGAAAAUAAUAUUUAUUUAACAAAAAUAUAUUAAUCACAUAUUAAAA